rnacentral:lncRNA from 1 species
GGCUGCGUUACCACCGACCAGUCCUCAGCCGGCAACAUGAAGCUGGGUGGCCUCUGCCUCCUGCUCCUCCUCGCCGUCCUUCUCACCCUCAAUGCAGAGUUCCAAGCAGUUGAUGUAGGUAUCUGUGUGACGGAGUGCAAGGUAGACCAGGACUGUGGGGCAGGAAGACGAUGCACCAGCAAUGGAUGUGGCCGGGUCUGCUCCCCAGUCCGGCGAAGAGAGGCCUGCGAGCACCAGUGCAGAGAAGACAGGGACUGUGGGAGUGGACAUCAGUGCGUGAGGAAGGGCUGUGGGCACGUCUGCGCCCCCGUCCAUCAAGUCGAUGUAGGUAUCUGUGUGACGGAGUGCAAGGUAGACCAGGACUGUGGGGAAGGAAGACUAUGCAUCAGUAAUGGGUGUGGCCGUGUCUGCUUCCCAGGGCGAAGAGAGGCCUGCGAGCACCAGUGCAGAGAAGACAGGGACUGUGGGAGUGGACAUCAGUGCGUGAGGAAGGGCUGUGGGCACGUCUGCGCCCCCGUCCAUCAAGUCGAUGUAGGUAUCUGUGUGACGGAGUGCCGUGUAGACCAGGACUGUGGGGAAGGAAGACAAUGCACCAGCAAUGGAUGUGGCCGUGUCUGCUCCCCAGCCCAGCAAAGAGAGGCCUGCGAGCACCAAUGCAGAGAAGACAAGGACUGUGGGAGUGGACAUCAGUGCGUGAGGAAGGGCUGUGGGCACGUCUGCUCCCCCAUCCCUCAAGUAGGUAUCUGUGUGACGGAGUGCAAUGUAGACCAGGACUGUGGGGCAGGAAGACGAUGCACCAGCAAUGGAUGUGGCCGUGUCUGCUCCCCACCCCAGGGAGGAGGACUCUGUGUGGACCGCUGCCGAGGAAACUGGGACUGUGGGGCCGGAGAAGAAUGUAUCAGGAAGGGAUGUGGACGGGUCUGCUCUCCAGCCCAGGAGCCAGUGGUAGGUAUCUGUGUGGAUCAGUGCCAAAGACACUGGGAAUGUGGUCCACGGAUGCGGUGUGUCUCCACUGGAUGUGGCCACAUCUGCUCACCAGCCCAAGACCAAGGUAAGAGGUGCAAGCCUUGCCUUCCAAGCCCCUGACUGACUGAAUGCUUGGCUCUG